ACACAUGCAAGUCGAACGAUGAAGAAAAGAAUUGAAGCUUCGGCAGAAAUUCAUUUCGGAUUAGUGGCAGACGGGUGAGUAACGCGUGAGCAACCUACCCCUUACAAAGGGAUAGCCUCGGGAAACCGGGAUUAAUAUCAUAUAACAUUGCGACGAAGCAUUUCGAUGCAAUCAAAGCUACGGCGGUAAGAGAUGGGCUCGCGUCCCAUUAACCAGAUGGUGAGGUAACGGCUCACCAUAGUAACGAUGGGUAACCGGCCUGAGAGGGUGAACGGUCACACUGGAACUGAGACACGGUCCAGACUCCUACGGGAGGCAGCAGUGGGGAAUAUUGCACAAUGGAGGGAACUCUGAUGCAGCGACGCCGCGUGAGUGAUGAAGGAAUUCGUUUCGUAAAACUCUGUUCUAUGGGAAGAAAAGGACUGUACCAUAGGAGAAAGCUCCGACUAAAUACGUGCCAGCAGCCGCGGUAAUACGUAUGGAGCGAGCGUUGUCCGGAAUUAUUGGGCGUAAAGGGUGCGCAGGCGGCUUUACAAGUUGGAUGUGAAAUAUUGUGGCUCAACCACAAACGUGCAUCCAAAACUGCAAAGCUUGAGUUAAGGAGAGGUAAGUGGAAUUCCUGGUGUAGCGGUGGAAUGCGUAGAUAUCAGGAGGAAUACCGGUGGCGAAGGCGACUUACUGGACUUAAACUGACGCUCAGGCACGAAAGCGUGGGGAGCAAACAGGAUUAGAUACCCUGGUAGUCCACGCCGUAAACGAUGAGUGCUAGGUGUUGGGGGUCAAACCUCGGUGCC
rnacentral:rRNA from 1 species